rnacentral:pre_miRNA from 1 species
UCUUAUGGACAAGCAAUGAAAGUGGUUUCUUGAGAUGGAAUCUACUCCUGGUAAAGAUACUGUGGA